AGAGUUUGAUCCUGGCUCAGGAUGAACGCUGGCGGUAUGCUUAACACAUGCAAGUCGAACGGUGUCUUCGGACACAGUGGCGGACGGGUGAGUAACGCGUGAGAAUCUGGCUCUAGGUCUGGGACAACCACUGGAAACGGUGGCUAAUACCGGAUGUGCCGAGAGGUGAAAGGUUAACUGCCUAGAGAUGAGCUCGCGUCUGAUUAGCUAGUUGGAAGUGUAAUGGACUCCCAAGGCGACGAUCAGUAGCUGGUCUGAGAGGACGAUCAGCCACACUGGGACUGAGACACGGCCCAGACUCCUACGGGAGGCAGCAGUGGGGAAUUUUCCGCAAUGGGCGAAAGCCUGACGGAGCAAUACCGCGUGAGGGAGGAAGGCUCUUGGGUCGUAAACCUCUUUUCUCAGGGAAGAACACAAUGACGGUACCUGAGGAAUAAGCAUCGGCUAACUCCGUGCCAGCAGCCGCGGUAAUACGGAGGAUGCAAGCGUUAUCCGGAAUGAUUGGGCGUAAAGCGUCCGCAGGUGGCAAUGUAAGUCUGCUGUUAAAGAGUCUAGCUCAACUAGAUAAGAGCAGUGGAAACUACAUAGCUAGAGUACGUUCGGGGCAGAGGGAAUUCCUGGUGUAGCGGUGAAAUGCGUAGAGAUCAGGAAGAACACCGGUGGCGAAGGCGCUCUGCUAGGCCGUAACUGACACUGAGGGACGAAAGCUAGGGGAGCGAAUGGGAUUAGAUACCCCAGUAGUCCUAGCCGUAAACGAUGGAUACUAGGCGUGGCUUGUAUCGACCCGAGCCGUGCCGUAGCUAACGCGUUAAGUAUCCCGCCUGGGGAGUACGCCGGCAACGGUGAAACUCAAAGGAAUUGACGGGGGCCCGCACAAGCGGUGGAGUAUGUGGUUUAAUUCGAUGCAACGCGAAGAACCUUACCAAGGCUUGACAUGUCGCGAAUCCUGGUGAAAGCUGGGAGUGCCUUCGGGAGCGCGAACACAGGUGGUGCAUGGCUGUCGUCAGCUCGUGUCGUGAGAUGUUGGGUUAAGUCCCGCAACGAGCGCAACCCUCGUUUUUAGUUGCCAGCAUUAAGUUGGGCACUCUAGAGAGACUGCCGGUGACAAACCGGAGGAAGGUGGGGAUGACGUCAAGUCAGCAUGCCCCUUACGCCUUGGGCUACACACGUACUACAAUGCUCCGGACAGAGGGCAGCAAGCAUGCGAAUGCAAGCAAAUCCCGUAAACCGGAGCUCAGUUCAGAUCGCAGGCUGCAACUCGCCUGCGUGAAGGAGGAAUCGCUAGUAAUUGCAGGUCAGCAUACUGCAGUGAAUUCGUUCCCGGGCCUUGUACACACCGCCCGUCACACCAUGGAAGCUGGUAGUGCCCGAAGUCAUUACUCCAACCUUUCGGGGAGGAGGAUGCCUAAGGCAGGACUGGUGACUGGGGUGAAGUCGUAACAAGGUAGCCGUACCGGAAGGUGUGGCUGGAUCACCUCCUU
rnacentral:rRNA from 1 species